UUGUGGAGGAGGACGCCGAAGGUGGGGCUAAUGACUGGGGUGAAGUCGUAGCAAGGUAGCCGUACCGGAAGGUGCGGCUGGAUCACCUCCUAACAGGGAGACAACAAAAUGUUUAAUAUUAUUAUUUUGUCACCUUAGGUCGAUCGGUAUCUCACGUUUUUAAUUUAUUAAGAAUUUCAUUUCCUAAGUUUUUCUAGGUCACACCCAUAUUUUUCCUGGGCCAUUAGCUCAGGUGGUUAGAGCGCACCCCUGAUAAGGGUGAGGUCCCUGGUUCAAGUCCAGGAUGGCCCAUAUCUCUAUGUUGGGGGUAUAGCUCAGUUGGUAGAGCGCCUGCUUUGCAAGCAGGAUGUCAGCGGUUCGAGUCCGCUUACCUCCACUGAUUACCACCUCUUCCAUAAACGGUAGAAAGGAAAUUUUUUGAGUUGUGACCAAAUUCUGAAAGAAUCUAGCUUCCUAAUGCAAUCAUUAAGAUGCUGGACUCAUUGAAUUAAUUUCAUUGUUUUCAGAGAACCUUGACAACUGCAUAGAUUAUUUUUAAAGACAAUAAGCAUCUUUAAUGAUGCAGAUUUAUUAUUUGUGCGAAUGCAUUAAUAACAAUUCUAUUAAGCUGAUGCUUCAAUUUUGAAGUUAUUGGUCAAGCUACAA
rnacentral:misc_RNA from 1 species